AGAGGAGGGCCAGACAUGAAACAUCGGAGGGCAGGAUCAUUUUUGCAUUUAAGCACUUUUGAAAUCCAACAACCCAGACGGCCCUUCAAAACAGAUUCCUCGUACCUACUUACGAAGCAGCACAACAGCACAGUCGAUGGGUGGCAGGAUCUCCGGCAGUGGGUGGCGAUCGAGGGAUGGCAGUGAGCUUCCGGCAGCCUCUUGCUGCCGUUUUCUGGCGUCGUUUGGCAGCUGAUCGAUAGGAGGGAGUGAAGGCAGCUGCUGGGGGUGAUCAAAGAGGUGUUUCGAGGCUAUUGGUUCGACGGAACUGGAAGCAAAGCAGAGGUUGGCUGCAGGGCCGGCCCAUGGGCCUGGGCAAGCUGGGCGACCGCCCCCGGCCCCCAAAUGCCAUAGAGCCCCCAUUUUAUAUCUCUUAUAUUAAUUGUAUAACAUUAGCCCAUUAGGUUUAAGCUUAUUGGACUCAAUACAACAAUACUCCGUCCGUCUCUCUUAUCAGCGUGUGUCACUGCGUCGUCAACCAAAAAGAAAGCGGGAGGAAGAGGAAUCAGGAACGACUGGGCGUCCGAGAGUGCCGACUUCCAAGGCGCAAUUAAAUCUUCAACGAUCGGCUAUGGAAAAUCGAAACGUUUUCUCCGGAUUCUAAAAACUAAACCAUUGAGAAUCUGACCACUGAGUCGUCACAGUCUCACGGACGAAGACAAUAUCAUUCGAAGAAGCAUUAAUCCCACAUAGUCGUUUAUCGUUGUCUCGUUGUCUCACAGACGAAGACAAUAUCAUUCGAAGAAGCAUUAAUUCAACAGAAUCGUUUAUGGUUGUCUCGUUGUCUUCUGAAUCUUCUUCUUUAUUUUUAUCUAAUCAAUCCAAUAAAAUGACCUUCUGAUUGUGUGAUUGUAAAUCCUUGUAACUCACUAACUCUGAUUCUAUAACUAAUUUUCUGUUGUAGCUGUGGAGGUCAUUUACAGCAUCAACAAUUUACCAAUUACCAUCUAGGCAUCACUGGCAGUAGAGGAGGGCCAGACAUGAAACAUCGGAGGGCAGGAUCAUUUUUGCAUUUAAGCACUUUUGAAAUCCAACAACCCAGACGGCCCUUCAAAACAGAUUCCUCGUACCUACUUACGAAGCAGCACAACAGCACAGUCGAUGGGUGGCAGGAUCUCCGGCAGUGGGUGGCGAUCGAGGGAUGGCAGUGAGCUUCCGGCAGCCUCUUGCUGCCGUUUUCUGGCGUCGUUUGGCAGCUGAUCGAUAGGAGGGAGUGAAGGCAGCUGCUGGGGGUGAUCAAAGAGGUGUUUCGAGGCUAUUGGUUCGACGGAACUGGAAGCAAAGCGGAGGUUGGCUGCAGGGCCGGCCCAUGGGCCUGGGCAAGCUGGGCGACCGCCCCCGGCCCCCAAAUGCCAUAGAGCCCCCAUUUUAUAUCUCUUAUAUUAAUUGUAUAACAUUAGCCCAUUAGGUUUAAGCUUAUUGGACUCAAUACAACAAUACUCCGUCCGUCUCUCUUAUCAGCGUGUGUCACUGCGUCGUCAACCAAAAAGAAAGCGGGAGGAAGAGGAAUCAGGAACGACUGGGCGUCCGAGAGUGCCGACUUCCAAGGCGCAAUUAAAUCUUCAACGAUCGGCUAUGGAAAAUCGAAACGUUUUCUCCGGAUUCUAAAAACUAAACCAUUGAGAAUCUGACCACUGAGUCGUCACAGUCUCACGGACGAAGACAAUAUCAUUCGAAGAAGCAUUAAUCCCACAUAGUCGUUUAUCGUUGUCUCGUUGUCUCACAGACGAAGACAAUAUCAUUCGAAGAAGCAUUAAUUCAACAGAAUCGUUUAUGGUUGUCUCGUUGUCUUCUGAAUCUUCUUCUUUAUUUUUAUCUAAUCAAUCCAAUAAAAUGACCUUCUGAUUGUGUGAUUGUAAAUCCUUGUAACUCACUAACUCUGAUUCUAUAACUAAUUUUCUGUUGUAGCUGUGGAGGUCAUUUACAGCAUCAACAAUUUACCAAUUACCAUCUAGGCAUCACUGGCAGUAGAGGAGGGCCAGACAUGAAACAUCGGAGGGCAGGAUCAUUUUUGCAUUUAAGCACUUUUGAAAUCCAACAACCCAGACGGCCCUUCAAAACAGAUUCCUCGUACCUACUUACGAAGCAGCACAACAGCACAGUCGAUGGGUGGCAGGAUCUCCGGCAGUGGGUGGCGAUCGAGGGAUGGCAGUGAGCUUCCGGCAGCCUCUUGCUGCCGUUUUCUGGCGUCGUUUGGCAGCUGAUCGAUAGGAGGGAGUGAAGGCAGUUGCUGGGGGUGAUCAAAGAGGUGUUUCGAGGCUAUUGGUUCGACGGAACUUGAAGCAAAGCGGAGGUUGGCUGCAGGGCCGGCCCAUGGGCCUGGGCAAGCUGGGCGACCGCCCCCGGCCCCCAAAUGCCAUAGAGCCCCCAUUUUAUAUCUCUUAUAUUAAUUGUAUAACAUUAGCCCAUUAGGUUUAAGCUUAUUGGACUCAAUACAACAAUACUCCGUCCGUCUCUCUUAUCAGCGUGUGUCACUGCGUCGUCAACCAAAAAGAAAGCGGGAGGAAGAGGAAUCAGGAACGACUGGGCGUCCGAGAGUGCCGACUUCCAAGGCGCAAUUAAAUCUUCAACGAUCGGCUAUGGAAAAUCGAAACGUUUUCUCCGGAUUCUAAAAACUAAACCAUUGAGAAUCUGACCACUGAGUCGUCACAGUCUCACGGACGAAGACAAUAUCAUUCGAAGAAGCAUUAAUCCCACAUAGUCGUUUAUCGUUGUCUCGUUGUCUCACAGACGAAGACAAUAUCAUUCGAAGAAGCAUUAAUUCAACAGAAUCGUUUAUGGUUGUCUCGUUGUCUUCUGAAUCUUCUUCUUUAUUUUUAUCUAAUCAAUCCAAUAAAAUGACCUUCUGAUUGUGUGAUUGUAAAUCCUUGUAACUCACUAACUCUGAUUCUAUAACUAAUUUUCUGUUGUAGCUGUGGAGGUCAUUUACAGCAUCAACAAUUUACCAAUUACCAUCUAGGCAUCACUGGCAGUAGGUACAAAGAACAAGAACCCUUCUUUUAUUAUUUGUUAUCUGCUUGCUUG